rnacentral:rRNA from 1 species
CCGCCCGUCACACCAUGGGAGUUGUUUGCAGCUGAAGUCACCGGGAGCCGCAAGGCAGGUGCCUAGGCUGUGAGCGAUGACUGGGGUG